UACAGAGGUCCCAAGCGUUGUUCGGAUUCACUGGGCGUAAAGGGUGCGUAGGUGGCGAAGUAAGUCGGAUGUGAAAUCUCCGAGCUCAACUCGGAAACUGCAUUGGAAACUACUUUGCUCGAGGGUUGGAGGGGGGACUGGAAUACUUGGUGUAGCAGUGAAAUGCGUAGAUAUCAAGUGGAACACCAGUGGCGAAGGCGAGUCCCUGGACAACUCCUGACACUGAGGCACGAAAGCUAGGGGAGCAAACAGG
rnacentral:rRNA from 1 species